rnacentral:sRNA from 2 species
UGAGACCCGUCUAGUUAGGGCUUGGAGAUGGAGGCUGAUCUGUUCUCAGUCACUUGCUUGAUCUAGCCGUCUUCUCACAUAAGCUAUUCAGCUCUUUCUGAUUCCUGGUAGCCUCCGGCGAUGGAUGGUGUCUCGAUUGAAAAAUACUUAAACAAUGUGGGCAGGACAGGCGUGGAAAAUGGAAUGAAGAAAUUGCACCACAACUUUGACUGUAUUAUACAUUUGUUCAUAUCACGAGUAUGCAUGCUAAAAGCCAAUGCAUACCAGCAUAGCUGAUGGGAAGGUCAAUAUGCCUAAUGGUCUGAGCAAACAAGCCGGGAGUCUGGUGCUGUGAGUGCUCUUGCAUUUUCAGCGUACCUUCGUAUUUCAAGCAAUCAAAUCUCCUUUCUUUCAGUUGAGAAAAGCAAAUUCUUCAUCUCAGUCUCUCAUUUGAGGUUGCCCUUAUGGA